rnacentral:rRNA from 1 species
GACGUAGGGCGCGAGCGUUGUCCGGAUUUAUUGGGCGUAAAGAGCUCGUAGGCGGCUUGUCGCGUCGACCGUGAAAACUUGGGGCUCAACCCCAAGCCUGCGGUCGAUACGGGCAGGCUCGAGUUCGGUAGGGGAGACUGGAAUUCCUGGUGUAGCGGUGAAAUGCGCAGAUAUCAGGAGGAACACCGAUGGCGAAGGCAGGUCUCUGGGCCGAUACUGACGCUGAGGAGCGAAAGCGUGGGGAGCGAACAGG